AGUGAUGAUCAUAUUUGUAUUUUUGUGUAAAAAUAAUAAGCCCGAUCGAAGAUCGAUAUAUACCUUCCAAAUUAUAUAUAAGACGCAUAACAAAUUUCCGACCGUAACUGAACCAGACUUGAACAAAUCCUAAAUACUUAGAGGGCACAGUUAAACGAAAAAAGUUUGAUACAAAUAAAAAUUUAGAACAUAUAUGGUUCAAUUUCAACACCCAACUACAUAAACAUACUGAAUAUUUGCAUACUGUAAUUUGUAUGACAUAUCAAUGUCCUCAUUACGAGUACGUAACAGUCCAUCAUGAUACUUGAGAGAUUGCUUUCCUAUGGGUCUGUUUGUCUAUGUAUAGUUGCAAGCCUUCAAAUUUUACUCCUCCCCACCCCCCAACUCCACAUGCGUUGCGAGUUAUAAGCCUACUUCCAUCAUGCAUUAGCUAUCAUAAGUAGAUUUAAACCACUUUUUUCAAAUCAUUUAAACCACUUUUUUCAAAUCAUUGAUUUUACCUUUUAAUUUACUUUUUAGUAUGCAUAGUUGCAUACAAAUAGACAAAACGAAGUUUCUUUCCUUUUUUAUCAUUAAAUUGACCUUGAGUGGAGAUAAACAACAAAGCUAGGGUGAUUCAGUUUUGAAUCUCCAAUAACAAUUGGGAUUGCAGAUUCAGUUUUCAAUCUCUAAUAACAAUUCAGUUUCUUUCAACCUUCCUUUUUUAUGUGAUUCAGUUUUCCAUCUCUAAUAACAAUUGGAACUGCAAAUCUGAUUUGUUUCCUAACUACAUUUGGUUUUUGGAUCGGUUAUAAUUCACAAAGUUAUAAAUUAUAAUACGGUGGCAAAACUAAAUGUUGUGAACCAAUGAACUAUACUUUUGGAUUUGUUGAGUGGGGGAAAAAGAGAUAACAUAAAUAAAUAUAUGCAACUAUUUAUUAAGCCCGACAAUUAGGAGAAAUGUGGCUAAAAAGAAAAUAACUUUAUAAUAUAUAUGUAUAUAUUACAAAUACACACUUAAUAAUGUCUGGCAGAAGAAAACGACUUUAUGUAAUGUGAUGCACACACAAGUUGGAAAUUUUCUUAUUAAAUAUAGACUGAUAUGGGACAUAAUGCAUAACAGUUAGUUAACACAAAUGAACAUGAUUCAUAUGUUUAUAUUUCUUCAAAAGAAGAACCAGUAUCCAAGCCAAAGUUAGAAUUUUCUCUUUUUUAUAUAUUCAGUCUUCUCCUUUACAAAUUAAUUAAUUAUGAUUGGAUGUGUAUGUGGUGUGAGAUUAGGUUUGAAAAAUCUCAUGAUGUUCCAAUAAUUCAUAAUCUAGAAGAGUAUGUGUUGCGAGAUUAUUAAGUUUGAAAACCACAAGGUAAUCUAAUGAAGUUCUAUAAUAAUCCACAGCCCAUAAGUGUUGACUGAAAACAAUUAAUCUCAAAGAAGCAGCUUAAUUUCCAUUGACCUGACCUCAAGGGUGUUCCUAGCUAGAGGAUAUACGAUUCUUCAAUCUUAAAAAAAAUGUAACAUAUGUAAACGUAAUUGCUUAGAAAUGUUUUCUUGAUCAAAAUUUUGAUGCAUCAACAAGAAAAUUAUGUUAGAAACUGACUUACCAAUUUGAUUUCAUUCUUUAAUCUUGCAAGAGAUUUAUGUACUUUAGUCUUCGUAUAAUCUCAUCUUGUAAUUUGUAAAUGGUGGGCUCAUUCAGAAGACCAAAUCCAGUAACAAUAGCUUCAUUUUCCCCCAAAAACUUAAAUAAAAUGGACUUUUUCUCUCUCGAAGGAACUCAUACCAAAUUUCUGCAAGCAACCAAAAAUAAAACAAGAAUCAAAAGAACAAUGUAUUAGACACAAAAUCUUCCACAUCGAGUAUUGGAAGAGAUCAUUCUUAAUAUAUAAGAUAGAUGAGUCACUCUUUUUAUUAACCAAUUGGUUUUAGGUUGGAAGCACAUCUAGCUUAACAUUGUAUCAGAGUCUGAUCCACUAAUCCAACCCGAUCCACAUCGAUCUGGCCUAAAGUUGGCCCAUCGAUCCUUGUCCGGACAUUCAGAGAUUGACGCUCAAAGAGCCAUCAUCUCGAGGGGGUGUAUUAGAUACAAAGUGUCCCACAUCGAGUAUUGGAAGAAAUCAUUUUUAAUAUAUAAGAUAGAUGAGUCACUCUUCUUAUUAACCAAUUGGUUUUAGGAUGGUAGCCUAUCUAACGCAAUGCACCAAGACCAAACUCAGAUGCAUAAAAUUUGCAAGGAGAGAGAAUAUAUCGAGGAAACUGGGCUAGUUGUAGGCCCAUAACGAAACUCCAUGGUUAUAGACUUAUUUGGGCCCAUGUUUCAGGCCAUUAAAAUUUGGUUAACCCUAAUAAAAACCCUAACUUUUACUUAUUUAUAUUGCUCCACAUGAGGUCCUAUCAGUCUCGACGACUCUGUUUCAGUCUCCAUUGUGUUCUUACGUUUUAUGUGUUUCUGGAAAAAUAAAAGUUUCGAUUUUAAUGUGUUGUGUUUUUGAUGGAGAAUUCAAAAAGAGGAGAAAGAGAGAGAUAUGAUGAUUGAACUUUUCUGGUUCCCUAUUGGUUUGAUUAGCCGAGAUGAUGGCAUCUAACGAGCAGGGUCAGUCAAAUCGUCUGCAGGUAAAUAAACUGCUUGAAUAGAGGUUAUGGACCCUUUUUUCGUAGAAGUACAACACUAUCCUCCAUUUAGAGGAUGCGAGCUGUGUUUUGCUGCCCUUCUUGUCCGAGCGAAUCUUAAUUUGUCAAUCGAAACAGAGAAAGACAGAGACAGAGAACAACAUGAGAUGAGUUUAAUAUUAAAUCGUUGUAAAGUUGGGAAGUAAAUCAUCCUUGUAAUUAGAUUUGGUCACAUAUUUGUAAGCUUCACUGUUUGAGUUUCAUUCAAACAGCAUCCUCGAAACCAAGCCUAUCACUGUCGGAAA